rnacentral:misc_RNA from 1 species
GAUGAAGAACGUAGCGAAAUGCGAUAAGUAAUGUGAAUUGCAGAAUUCAGUGAAUCAUCGAAUCUUUGAACGCACAUUGCGCCCGCCAGUAUUCUGGCGGGCAUGCCUGUUCGAGCGUCAUUUCAACCAUCAAGCCCCAGGCUUGUGUUGGGGACCUGCGGCUGCCGCAGGCCCUGAAAACCAGUGGCGGGCUCGCUGUCACACCGGGCGUAGUAGAUUUUAUCUCGCUCAGGGCGUGCUGCGGGUUCCGGCCGUUAAAAAGCCUUUUCUACCCAAGGUUGACCUCGGAUCAGGUAGGAAGACCCGCUGAACUUAAGCAUAUCAAUAAGCGGAGGA